GAUGAACGCUGGCGGCGUGCCUAAUACAUGCAAGUCGAGCGAACAGACGAGGAGCUUGCUCCUCUGACGUUAGCGGCGGACGGGUGAGUAACACGUGGAUAACCUACCUAUAAGACUGGGAUAACUUCGGGAAACCGGAGCUAAUACCGGAUAAUAUCUUGAACCGCAUGGUUCAAUAGUGAAAGACGGUUUUGCUGUCACUUAUAGAUGGAUCCGCGCCGCAUUAGCUAGUUGGUAAGGUAACGGUUUACCAAGGCAACGAUGCGUAGCCGACCUGAGAGGGGGAUCGGCCACACUGGAACUGAGACACGGUCCAGACUCCUACGGGAGGCAGCAGUAGGGAAUCUUCCGCAAUGGGCGAAAGCCUGACGGAGCAACGCCGCGUGAGUGAUGAAGGUCUUCGGAUCGUAAAACUCUGUUAUUAGGGAAGAACAAAUGUGUAAGUAACUAUGCACGUCUUGACGGUACCUAAUCAGAAAGCCACGGCUAACUACGUG
rnacentral:rRNA from 1 species